rnacentral:lncRNA from 1 species
AUGACUGAGAAAAUGGGCAUCGGCCAAACCUCCACCCCAAAGCUCCUAGGACACCCCGUGGGACAGGAGCCAUUCAGGGACACCUCUGCAGAGCAGCGGCCCCUUUCCAAGCUGAGCAGCUCACACAGGACUGCGUGGGACAUUGCCUCAAAUCCUCCCCGUAGCCCAGCUCUGAGCAUCAGCAGUGUCCCUGCCUGCCACUCCCCACUUGCUGUGCUGUGGCUGCCCCUCCACUCUUUCCCACGGGCCAAGGCCAGCCCUGCGACCCUGCUUCAGCGUACUUUUCAGGUCCUGUGCAGCGGCUGGCCCCACAUAGGCUUCCGGCGCCAAGGCCUGGAGUGGCCCCUGUGGCCCUUAGGAAUCUGCUUGCCCAUGAGGACAUCCCACCCCCAUCUGAGUCCUCCGUGGCUGCCCAGUUAUGCAAGGAUGCCCUUCCCUCUGCUCCAGGCAAAGCUGCCAGGACCCCUGCAAGCAGCUGGGACAGGGCAGAGAAGCAGCCCCCACAGGAUUCCAGGGAAACCAGCACACCACACACAUAUGCCACACACACCUCCCACACACACGCCCCCCUCACACACACCUCCCCCACACACACCCCACACACACACACCCACACACACAACAAACAGAUACACUACACACCACACACAUACGUCUCAUACACACACAUACACAUACACCACACACAUAUGCCACACGUGCAGACACCACACACACAACACACGUACAUCACACAUAUAUAUACCACACACUACACACAUAUGCCACACGCACACACACCACACACAUAUACACACCAUGCACAUAUGCCACAUGUGCACACACAUAUACAUACACCAGAGACUACUCACAUAUGCCACACACACACACACCACACACAUACACACAACACACACAACACACACAUACACAAACACAUCACACACUAUAUGCAUACACCAGACAUGCAUACACACACACCCACAUACAACACACACACACACAUACCCCACACACACACUUCCCCCUUAUCAUUUAUAA